UGUGUUAAAGAAAUACUAGCUUGAUAAAUGUUUGAGUUAAACAGCCAUUCUUAAGCGAUUCAUAAAAAAUGUCAAGUAAUAAUGGCGAAAUUUGGUCACUGAAGGCUUUGUAAAUCUCUGAGCAAGCGCUUUAGAACACUGCAUACGGCGUAUUGCCUGAAUUAUUUCUUCAAUAGUUAGAGAUUGUUCUAAAGAAUAUUUAUUCUCCGAGGAAAUUAAUGGGAUAUUGAGUUCUUUAAAAAAAUUCUCUAUAAGUAAAUAAUUGUUAGCAGAUUCUGAGGAGUAUAGCUUCAUAUAAAAAUCCCUAAAGGUGUCAUUUAUGUUUUGAAGGUCUAGGGUAGUUUGUCCAGAAUCAGUUCUAAUCUCUGUAAUCAACCUCGAUGCAGCUUCUUUCAGCUUUCAUUGGUCUGACAGACAAGAAUUUUGCCAGAUUUUUCUCCAUGUUUGUAAAAAGAGGUUUAAACCUGCAUCAAAAGUUUAGUUGUCACUGUGAUAGAGAGUAACUGAAAUUCUGACUGGAGGGAGAGUUUUUCCUUAUAAAAAUCUGGUGAAGGGGAGAUUUCAUACUCAUGGUCUAUUGGUGAUAUUUUGUCAACUAAUUUCUUUUUUUCUCUCUCUCUCUCUCUCUCUCUUCUUUGCUUCCCAAUUGAGACACUCUUAUAUUAUCUAAGAGAUAAUAUAACCAUGGAUGUAUGCUUUAAAUGCUUCCAAAGUGUGGACUUUGAGAUAUCUGUGGUGUUAUUUGUGUGCAAAUAUAAUUGUAUAUGUUCGUUACCUUGUUCUAUAAAUGUUUUAUCCGUCAAUAGAUUAUUAUAAGAACAACAAGUCUUGUUUUAAUGGCAAACAGACGAGAGAAACAUUGAACCAGAGGAAACACAGGCCCUAAAAUAAGGAACAAAGUCAUACACAUCUGGGAUGGCAUGAGGGUGAGUAAAUGAUGAGAGACUUUUCAUUUUGGGUGAACUAUCCCUUUAAGAUAAAUUAAUAAUAGAGUUUAAGUAAACACUGCAUUAGCCUAUGUUCACCAAAACAUUUGAAUGCAUUUCAAAGAUAAUGAUAAAACAUUAAAAAUAAAUAAUUAUAAAAAAACCUUUAGCUAUGAACCAAGACCAUAUGAUCACCGAAAAUGUUUUGGCAUUGACUAAAUAUCAUGUCCCUUUGUUAGUAGGCAUAUAAUACAAAGAGUAUCUAGUAAUUUAUUACCUCUAUGUAUACUUGAAUUGAUAGCAGCACUAAAAAAAAUUAUAAUUAAAUUACGUGUGCUGGAGCCUAUCCCAGCUACUUCGAGUUGAAGGCAGGGAAACACCCUAAACAGAUAGCCAGUCCAACAUAGGACCUCAUGAGGAAUUGUCAAACCAAACAACAGUAAAGCAUGGAGUGCCACCGGGAUUAGUUUUAGGGCCUCUGCUUUUCUCCUUGUAUAUGCUUCCCCUGGGAGAUAUUAUCAGGAAUCGUGGAAUAAGUUUCCACUGUUAUGCCGAUGAUACCCAACUUUAUAUUUCUUCAAAACCUGAUGAAAUUUCACAAUUCUCCAAAUUAGCAGAGUGUAUCAAUGAAAUAAAAGAUCUUUCCUUCUACUCAAUUCCGACAAAACAGAGGUACUAAUUAUUGGACCAAAAACCUCUAAAAACAAGCCGCUAAAAUAUAAUUUGACUCUUGAUGAAUGUACUGUUACAUCGUCUUCAACAGCAAAGAACUUAGAUGUUAUAUUUGAUAUCAAUCUGUCCUUUGAAAAUCAAAUUACCAAUGUUUGUAGAACAGCAUUCUUCCACCUCAAAAUUACGCUAAAUUACGGCACAUGCUCUCUGUUGCUGAUGCCGAAAAACUAAUUAAUGCGUUCAUGACCUCAAGACUAGAUUAUUGUAAUGCAUUACAGUGAGAAUGUCCUGCAAUAUCAAUAAAUAAACUUCAAUUGCAUCAAAAUGAAGCAGCCAGAGUGCUGACUAGAACCAAGAAAUAUGAUCAUAUUAGCCCCAUCUUAUCGUCGUUACAUUGGCUACCUGUUAAAUUUCAUAUUAAUUUUAAAAUUCUGUUAACUACGAACAAAGCUUUGAAUGGUCUAGCUUCAAAGAACUUAAAUUACUUCUACCAUGCUAUAUUCCAUUAUGUUCAUAACGGUUGCAAAAUUCUGGCCUGUUAAAAGGAGGUAGAUCAUUUUCAUAUUUGGCUUCUAACUAUGGAAUAGUCUCCCUAACACUGUUCGAGAUGCAGACACACUCACUCAGUUUAAGUCUAGACUAAAGACUCAUCUAUUUAGCCAGGCAUACACCUAAUUUAUCCUUCAACUCACAAUUAGGUCUGCUGGAACCAGAAACCAGAAACAUUGAUCAUGAUCUAUAACUCUGCAAUAAAUUGAAUGGUGUCUGUGCUAAUAUUAUUCUAUUUGUUUCCCUGUCUCAACCUCGGGACGCCUAUCCUGAGGUCACCAGAACCGUCUGGAUCCAUUCCUGCUUUGUGUUGGACUCCACUGCUAUGUGUCGCUGUGUGAUGAUGACUAAUAGCAGCCGGUGCCAGCCAAACAUCACUUCAGUCUAUUACGAUGGACUCCAGAGGAUGAACUGAUGCCAACUCCAAUAAGACAUGGGAUACACCAUAUGCUACUGCCUGAACCUUGGAUUUAGGAUAGACUUAACCGAAAUUACCGGCCGGUUGAACUGCGAUGCACCUAACAGAUCUCUGCCUGCAUCACCUCGGUCUAAUGAUGGACGACACUCUUGAAAUGGAAUACAUAGACUAUCAAUUAAUUGCCAACAAAACCCUUCAUCAGCCAACUGACAAGGACAAUGCAUCUAUGUGAACUUCUGCAGUUAAUCCAGGAUGGACUUCAAAGACAUUAGUCAUUAAUCUUACAGUUCAUACAAAAUCUUGACCCUUAACACUUUAGUUUAAUAAUUUUAAACCAUGACUUGCACUAUACAUAAGUAAUAUUGGCAUUAUAUUCAUGAUGUUAGCCAGAGGGGAACUGGCCCCCUCAGUGAGUCUGGUUUCUCCCAAGGUUAUUUUUCUCCAUUAACCAACAUCUUAUGGAGUUUUGUGUUCCUUGCCUCUGUCACCUUCGGCUUGCUCACUGGGGUUCUAAAUACAAUUAUUAUUGAAUUACUUAUUUUUAAACACAAUUCAAAUUCGUAUUUUAUCAAACUACACAAUGAUGACUAGAUAUUACAGUUUCAUUUUCUGUUAAUGCAUGAUUCUCUGUAAAGCUGCUUUGAAACUAUGUGCGUUGUGAAAGGCGCUAUACAAAUAAAAAUGAUUUGAUUUGACCUCUUAUUCUGUAUAUUGGCACUUUUAAUUAAUGUAUGAACUUUGGUGAUUCAGUGUUCACCUUUAAGGUGUCAAAAGCAGUAAAAGCCUUU